GAUGUUAGUAUCAGCUCUCUGCAACUUUCACAUGAUCGCCCACUGAAGCUAAGCAGGGCUGCGUCCGGUCAGUACCUUGAUGGGAGACCACAUGGGAAAGCUUGGUUGCUGCCGGAA
ensembl:rRNA 5S_rRNA 5S ribosomal RNA